CCGCCGGAGGCCGCGUUCCUGUGCUGCUGUUGGCCAACAAACUGGAUAACGAGAAGGAGCGGGAAGUCCCCCGGGGCCACGGAGAGAAACUCGCCAAGGAGAACAAUCUGAUCUUCUACGAGUGCAGCGCGUAUUCGGGUCACAACGUCACGGAGUCGCUGCUUCACCUGGCCAGUUCAGGAAACAAGACCACACCUCAGAGCCUUUGCCACUGUGGAGGAGCUCAUUCGAAUGCCAUUCACCCAGGUUCCUCUUGGAGCAGGAAGACUUGGUGAGGGAGGACACCGUGAAAGUUAGCUCCUCCACCAAGAAGAAAACCUGCUGUGGCUGACAUGAGGGGGGGUAUCUGCGCCCGCCCCACCCCACCCCGAGCCUCCUGGCAAAGCCCCCCAUCUUUGAUAACAACCUGACCCCACCCCAGGGGAAAGGAGGGUCAUGCAGGCGACCCCCCCCCACACGCACACAUCAGGCAUCUUAGAAGCGGGUCCUUUCUCCCUUCCCCUCCCCACCUGCCCCCCUUCCUCCUCCCCGCCCCACCUCCAGCCUCCUUUCUGGGGUUUGUGGGAAGUGGGGUGGAGGUGGCAGG